rnacentral:rRNA from 1 species
CUUCACGUAAGAAUGUCAUUAUCAUCUCUGGCGAGAGCUUUACGACCCUAAGGCCUUCAUCACUCACGCGGCAUGGCUAGAUCAGGCUUGCGCCCAUUGUCUAAGAUUCCCCACUGCUGCCUCCCGUAGGGGGGCGGGGGCGGCGGGCCGGGCGCGGGGCGCGGCGGGCGAAUAGCGCAGCACUAGCGAAAGUUAGCGUGGGGCUUCUAUUGCGGCGGGGAAGAAAAAGCUUAAAUCUACGCUUUCAAAAAAUAAUAAUCCGUAGUGAACAACCCCGCUACCCGGC